rnacentral:rRNA from 1 species
AGAGUUUGAUCAUGGCUCAGAACGAACGCUGGCGGCGUGCUUAACACAUGCAAGUCGAACGCGAACGAGUUCUUCGGAACUUUAGUAGAGUGGCGCACGGGUGAGUAACGCGUAAGUAAUCUACCCUCGCAUCUGGGAUAACCCACCGAAAGGUGUGCUAAUACCGGAUACGUCUAAGUUAAUAUCUUUUUUUUAGAGAAAGGUGGCCUCUGAUUCAAGCUACUGUGCGGGGAGGAGCUUGCGUACCAUUAGCUAGUUGGUAGGGUAACGGCCUACCAAGGCGACGAUGGUUAGCGGGUCUGAGAGGAUGAUCCGCCACACUGGAACUGAAACACGGACCAGACUCCUACGGGAGGCAGCAGUGAGGAAUAUUGCGCAAUGGGGGCAACCCUGACGCAGCGACGCCGCGUGGAUGAUGAAGGCCUUCGGGUUGUAAAAUCCUGUCAGAUGGGAAGAAGUGCUAUAUGGUUAAUAUCUGUAUAGUUUGACGGUACCAUCAAAGGAAGCACCGGCUAACUCCGUGCCAGCAGCCGCGGUAAUACGGAGGGUGCAAGCGUUGUUCGGAAUUACUGGGCGUAAAGCGCGCGUAGGCGGCUAUGUAAGUCAGAUGUGAAAGCCCGCGGCUCAACCGUGGAAGUGCAUUUGAAACUGUAUAGCUUGAGUACUGGAGGGGGUAGUGGAAUUCCCGGUGUAGAGGUGAAAUUCGUAGAUAUCGGGAGGAAUACCGGUGGCGAAGGCGACUACCUGGCCAGAUACUGACGCUGAGGUGCGAAAGCGUGGGGAGCAAACAGGAUUAGAUACCCUGGUAGUCCACGCCGUAAACGAUGUCAACUAGGUGUUGGAGUGGUUAAUCGCUUCAUUGCCGGAGCUAACGCAUUAAGUUGACCGCCUGGGGAGUACGGUCGCAAGAUUAAACUCAAAGGAAUUGACGGGGGCCCC